GACGAACGCAGGCGGCGCGCUUAACACAUGCAAGUCGAACGGAAAGGCCUGCUUUCCCUUGUGGAUUGCGGGUACUCGAGUGGCGAACGGGUGAGUAACACGUGAGUGAUCUGCCCCCAACUUGGGUAUAAGCCUGGGAAACUGGGUCUAAUUACCGAUAGGACUGCAGGGUGGUGCCUGUGGUGGAAAACGAUUUUCUAGUGGUUGGGGAUGAGCUCGCGGCCUAUCAGCUUGUUGGUGGGGUAAUGGCCUACCAAGGCGGCGACGGGUAGCCGGCCUGAGAGGGUGGACGGCCACAUUGGGACUGAGAUACGGCCCAGACGCCGACGGGAGGCAGCAGUGGGGAAUAUUGCACGAUGGGCGGAAGCCUGAUGCAGCGACGCCGCGUGGGGGAUGACGGCCUGCGGGUUGUAAACUCCUGUCGAGCGCGAGGAAGCCACCUGGUUGGAAGGGUGGUGACGGUAGUGGUAGAAGAAGCACCGGCUAACUACGUG
rnacentral:rRNA from 1 species